rnacentral:rRNA from 1 species
ACGAACGCUGGCGGCUGCUUAACACAUGCGAGUCGAACGGCGUGGCGAACGGGUGAGUAACGCGUGAGCAACCUGCCUAUGACAGUGGGAUAGCCUCGGGAAACCGGGAUUAAUACCACAUAGUCAUAGAUUGGCUCGCGUCUGAUUAGCUAGUUGGUGAGAUAACAGCCCAACAAGGCGACGUUCAGUAGCCGGUCUGUGAGGAUGAACGGCCACAUUGGAACUGAGACACGUUCCAAACUCCUACGGGAGGCAGCAGUGGGGAAUAUUGCACAAUGGGGAAAACCCUGAUGCAGCGACGCCGCGUGAACGAAGAAGGUAUUCGUAUCGUAAAGUUCUUUCCUAUGGGAAGCAGUACCAUAGAAGAAAGCUCCGGCUAAAUACGUGCCAGCAGCCGCGGUAAUAC